rnacentral:rRNA from 1 species
CAGUAGCCGCGGGAAUACGGAGGGAGCUAGCGUUAUUCGGAAUUACUGGGCGUAAAGCGCACGUAGGCGGCUUUGUAAGUUAGAGGUGAAAGCCUGGAGCUCAACUCCAGAAUUGCCUUUAAGACUGCAUCGCUUGAAUCCAGGAGAGGUGAGUGGAAUUCCGAGUGUAGAGGUGAAAUUCGUAGAUAUUCGGAAGAACACCAGUGGCGAAGGCGGCUCACUGGACUGGUAUUGACGCUGAGGUGCGAAAGCGUGGGGAGCAAACAGGAUUAGAUACCCCCGUAGUCCCUGUCUCUUAUAA